rnacentral:lncRNA from 1 species
CAGCAAAUCAAGUCACCUGUUAAUUUAGGAGUUUAUUUGUGUUUGUGCAUCAUGAUUACUUACAGAACCAUCAAUAAGCAAAAUGAAAAUAUACCAUAAUGUGAUGUACAAGCAGGUGUAGCUUGGGCAGCCAGGAGACAACUGGCACACUUGCCAGCCUUUCAUGUGAAAUGUAGACAUGAAUAAAUGAUCCCAAAAAAGUAGUAAAAAGAAAAGGAAUAAUGAUAUAUGUUUAAGAUCGCAAUAAAGUACAAGAAUAUCAGUGGGAUAAAGAGACAGAACUAUAGCCCUUUACUCUCUCCUGAAACAUGUGCUUCUCAGAUUAGAAAUUGAUAAAGCGGGCACCCUGGGUUUGGUCUUGUGACCUGAGUUAAUACUUCCACUAAUGACCUAAAAGAGGAAGUGAACCCAGUCGGUUAAAUUUUCUGAUGACAGAAUUGCUUUCUUAAGUU